rnacentral:rRNA from 1 species
GGCUUAUAAUUGAGGUCUAGUAUGAAAGAAAUAAUGGGGAUAAUCUGUAUCCAUAGUGUACUCAGAAUUUACUUAUUAGGUGAAAACUCCUAUAACUAAAUAAUAGACGAGAAGACCCUAGAAAUUUUCUAGAACAAGUUCUCCUUGCUUUUUGUUGGGGCGACACAGUAGCAGAGAACCGAACCUACUGAGUAUUAUGUGAUUAGUAUGUUAUGAGUAAAUAAAUUACUCUAGGGAUAACAGCAUAAUAUUAGAAAGUUUGUGACCUCGAUGUUGGACUAGGAAAGUAUAGCCCAGAAGGUUAUUACUAAGGCUCUUU